rnacentral:lncRNA from 1 species
UGUUUGCUUAGCAAAACUUCUAUAGUUUUUUUUUUUUUUUUGAGAGAUAGGUAAUAUGCUAUCCGUUUUGUUUAUUUCAUUUAGAAAUAAAUUUAGCUGAAAAUUAAUGUAAAUGAACUAGGAUUCAAAUUUGAGACCUAAUAUACCGAUCAUCAAGUCUUUUGCCACUUACGCUAGAAAUGGUCCGUACAAAGCUUCUAUAUAUAGUUGCUUUGUG